UAGCCCGUGGUUCAUCGGUAGAGCGUCUGGUUCCAGAUCAAGAGGCUGUGUGUUCUAAUCACGUCAGGUUCA
rnacentral:tRNA from 1 species